rnacentral:rRNA from 1 species
CGGUAACAGGCCGCAAGGUGCUGACGAGUGGCGAACGGGUGAGUAAUGCAUCGGAACGUGCCCAGUCGUGGGGGAUAACGCAGCGAAAGCUGCGCUAAUACCGCAUACGAUCUAUGGAUGAAAGCGGGGGACCAUAAGGCCUCGCGCGAUUGGAGCGGCCGAUGUCAGAUUAGGUAGUUGGUGGGGUAAAGGCUCACCAAGCCAACGAUCUGUAGCUGGUCUGAGAGGACGACCAGCCACACUGGGACUGAGACACGGCCCAGACUCCUACGGGAGGCAGCAGUGGGGAAUUUUGGACAAUGGGCGCAAGCCUGAUCCAGCAAUGCCGCGUGCAGGAAGAAGGCCUUCGGGUUGUAAACUGCUUUUGUACGGAACGAAACGGUCUGGGUUAAUACCUCGGGCUAAUGACGGUACCGUAAGAAUAAGCACCGGCUAACUACGUGCCAGCAGCCGCGGUAAUACGUAGGGUGCAAGCGUUAAUCGGAAUUACUGGGCGUAAAGCGUGCGCAGGCGGUUUUGUAAGACAGGCGUGAAAUCCCCGGGCUCAACCUGGGAAUGGCGCUUGUGACUGCAAGGCUGGAGUGCGGCAGAGGGGGAUGGAAUUCCGCGUGUAGCAGUGAAAUGCGUAGAUAUGCGGAGGAACACCGAUG